rnacentral:rRNA from 1 species
UACGUAGGGGGCAAGCGUUGUCCGGAUUUAUUGGGCGUAAAGAGCGUGUAGGCGGUUUGGUAGGUCCGUUGUGAAAACUCGAGGCUCAACCUCGAGCUGUCGGUGGAAACCGUGUGGCUAGAGUCCGGAAGAGGAGAGUGGAAUUCCCGGUGUAGCGGUGAAAUGCGCAGAUAUCGGGAAGAACACCCGUGGCGAAGGCGGCUCUCUGGGACGGUACUGACGCUGAGGAGCGAAAGCGUGGGGAGCGAACAGG